UGGGCAACCUGCCCUCAGCUCUGGGAUAACUCCAAGAAAUUGGUGCUAAUACCGGAUGUGACCGCUGACCGCAUGGUCUGGUGGUGGAAAGAUUCAUCGGCUGAGGAUGGGCCCGCGGCCUAUCAGCUUGUUGGUGGGGUGAUGGCCCACCAAGGCGACGACGGGUAGCCGGCCUGAGAGGGUGACCGGCCACACUGGGACUGAGACACGGCCCAGACCUCCGUACGGGAG
rnacentral:rRNA from 1 species